CCAAAGUGACCAGAGGGAGCCUUCAGCACGGAAUCCCAUAUGCUGCCAGGUCCCAGAGUCUGGCUCCUAUUCCCAGUACACAAGACCUAUCAAAACCUGGCUCUAGGCCCCCGGGGACUGGCAGACAUCUUCAGGGCACAGUGCCAAAUGUGUUCAUGAAGACAGUAACAUUCCUCUCAUCAUUUUCUCCAGAACUUUGGUGCUUUGAGUCAAAGGUUGACAUAAAGCUUUCAAAACAAAUGCAUGGAUUGCGGCUAGCUGGACACUGGGCCCUCCGCUGGCACUGUGGUCACUGCUGGCCCCAGUGCCACCAAUGCCACAGGACACUGGAUGCCAUAGCCACCAACUCCACCAGAAGGAGUUCCGAUUAUGUUGUUCAGUCUGGAUUUAGAAGUCUCAGCUAGGAAUAGUGGCAGAAGUAAUUGAGAAGCGAGAAGUAUGAGGAUGGACGGGGAGGGAGCAAACCACUUACCCGGUCAUGGACGAUUUGCCAGGAGCUGGGCCUUUAAUCAUCAGUUUUCUAUUAAUUCCUGGAACCAGACCCUCCCUGGCACAAUGGAUACAAACCAGGACCAACCAGGACCAAUCAGGACCAAUCAGGAAAAGUCUGGAAGGGUCCCAAACUUGGAACUUCUGUGUCCUCUCCACAUGGAACCCAGGGCGCACUCGACCCUCUCAGCGCAUCAAUGUGUUCACCUGCCAGGAAGUUCACCCAAGCCUCAGUGUCCAGAGUUUUUCUUGGGGUUUCAUUACAUAAGCAUGGUUAACUGAAUCCCUGGCCAUGUGAUUGAACUCAGUCUUUCUCAGUUGAACCCACCCCUCUGGACUGAUAUCACGUGGCUCAAAGCCCCAGCUCUCUAAGCACAUGGUUGAUCUUUCUGACAUUGCCAGCCCCCAUCCUGAAUCUAUCUAGGACCCACCAGGAGUCACCUCAGUAGCAUAAACUCAAGUGUGUUCCUGGGGGCCCACUGUGAAUAACAAAUCCCAAGAGUUUAGAAGCUUCAUCCCAGGAAUCCAGGACAAAGACCAGAUCAAUCAUUAUGCAACAAUAUCCCAUAGCAUGGCUGUCACAAGGCUGAAACAUUUAAGCUGGAUCUGACUAAAGGCUAACACUGUGAUGGCUAGAGUUUCCCUUGGAUCCCAACCUGCUGUGAUCUUAGUGACAGCCUAGUGUGCUGUGUGGAGGAUUCUGAAGCCACUUCCAGGAUUAAUUGGAAGGAGGGACAUGAUCAACUAGUCAUGACAGCCCUGGAAUAGAAGGGCAUUGGAAGGGGAGAGUGAGAGUGUGCAUGUGGGGUACUUGCUAACGCUGGGCUAAGGAUUAAAAAAAAAAAGGAAAAACCAUUUGCUGUUUGCUAAUGAAGACUUGCUCUUUAGAACAUGUAAGACCCAUCCCACUUCAGCUCCUGUCCUAAUGCCAUGUAGUGGGUGCCAUGUUUAACCCUUACCACACAAGAGGUCAUGUCUUUUUAUUUCUUCUCCUCAAAAUCUAGACUCAUGAAAGGGAGACUCAGAGAGAGAUGAGCGUGUCUUGGCUGCCCCCUGAAUUCUGGUUUUGAAACUAAGGAAUCAUGUCUACCCCAUGACUGUCCUAGUGAAUACAGGCAUUUUUAGGGGAUAUCAUGUCAACUCACAUGUUGGGUUGAUAGUCAACUGAUACGAACCAUUGGCUAUACCAAUUCUUAAAACAUGGAAACACUUCAUGCUGGUUGGUAAGUGAUGGCUGCCCCCCACUCCUGGAGAGGCCUUCUGCUAUUCUGGCUUUCCUGCCCCUCUCCUGGGACCAGGAGGGCUACAGACAGUGAUUUUCAGAGCUCAGUGCAAAACGAAAAUGCAGGACCAUUUGCUCAAAGUUUAUUAAGAAUUUCAAGAUGGCCACAGCAGAGCAUUCAGCCAAGCACAUCCCUUGACCCCACCAAUGCAGGAGGAGCACAGAGGGUGACCAAGAAAUAAAGCUAUUUUAAGACACUAACGUUGGAGGGUUGACUGUCACUGCAUCAUAACUUGGUGCAUUCUGACUAAUAUGCACCAAUGCCCUACAAGUUCUUACGUAUUUUGACUGUCACCCUGCCCAUGUGAUGGUCUCCUUGACACCCAAACAAGACAACCAGAGUUGUUUUCUUGGAGCCUGGCUUGACUAUUAUCGGAAACUCUCAGAAUUACACAAGGCACAACCAUAUUCCCAAACCCUAUUUUUAACAUAUGAACUUUGCCAGUAUAAUGAAACCAACAUUCAGAUAAAAUAGUAAAAGUGUGUUUUUAUAAACUUGUUUUAAUACGUCACCACAAAAUAGAAGGACUUAUGUUUUCAUUGGAUACUUUUCUUAAGGGAGUGCCAAUUUCCUCUCACUGCUCCUGGAUCUGACUGAGGCAGCUCAAGAAGGAGGAAGUCAGGGGAAACAGUGGGUUUAACUUUUAUUGAUUUGUGUAGUUAAUCUCCUUCCUGACCGAUUGGGUGAGCAGAAGAAAAGAACAAAGAAAGGAGGAAUGCUGGCCUCCCAGCAAAGCUCCUCCACACCCUUUCCAGCCCCUCCCUCUCCUGCUCUACCCCUAGGAGGAGGGGCGCUGAGGAGCGUUCGUCAGCAUCAGCGUCAGUGUUUGGAGGGACUAAAGCGUUCAGGAUUAAAAAAUAAACACAGCCGGAGGUUCAAGGCAGGAAAAAAGGGAAGGGAUGAACAAGCAGAACACAGGAAUUUAGGGCAGUGAAACUAUUCUGUACGGCACUCUAAUAGUGGAUACAUGUCUGUAUAUGUUUGUCAAAACCUAUAGAAUGUACAACAAAGAGUGAUCCCUAAUGUAAACCAUGGGCUUUAAUUAAUAAUAAUGUAUUAAUAUUGGUUCAUCAAUU